AGAGUUUGAUCCUGGCUCAGGACGAACGCUGGCGGCGCGCCUAACACAUGCAAGUCGAACGGAGCUUAGAGAGCUUGCUUUUUAAGCUUAGUGGCGAACGGGUGAGUAACGCGUGAGUAACCUGCCCUAGAGUGGGGGACAACAGUUGGAAACGACUGCUAAUACCGCAUAAGCCCACGGUGCCGCAUGACACUGAGGGAAAAGGAUUUAUUCGCUUUAGGAUGGACUCGCGUCCAAUUAGCUAGUUGGUGAGGUAACGGCCCACCAAGGCGACGAUUGGUAGCCGGACUGAGAGGUUGAACGGCCACAUUGGGACUGAGACACGGCCCAGACUCCUACGGGAGGCAGCAGUGGGGAAUAUUGCACAAUGGGGGAAACCCUGAUGCAGCGACGCCGCGUGGAGGAAGAAGGUUUUCGGAUUGUAAACUCCUGUCGUUAGGGACGAUAAUGACGGUACCUAACAAGAAAGCACCGGCUAACUACGUGCCAGCAGCCGCGGUAAAACGUAGGGUGCAAGCGUUGUCCGGAAUUACUGGGUGUAAAGGGAGCGCAGGCGGGAAGACAAGUUGGAAGUGAAAUCCAUGGGCUCAACCCAUGAACUGCUUUCAAAACUGUUUUUCUUGAGUAGUGCAGAGGUAGGCGGAAUUCCCGGUGUAGCGGUGGAAUGCGUAGAUAUCGGGAGGAACACCAGUGGCGAAGGCGGCCUACUGGGCACCAACUGACGCUGAGGCUCGAAAGUGUGGGUAGCAAACAGGAUUAGAUACCCUGGUAGUCCACACUGUAAACGAUGAUUACUAGGUGUUGGAGGAUUGACCCCUUCAGUGCCGCAGUUAACACAAUAAGUAAUCCACCUGGGGAGUACGACCGCAAGGUUGAAACUCAA
rnacentral:rRNA from 1 species